AGCAGGCCUGUCUGAAUCCUUAGCAGCGAUCUCCAAGGGCACCAUAACCUUGCAAGAAAGAGGCUGCCAGGCCUACAUCAGAUGCAGAAACCAGGGCGCAGAGUAGGGGCUAGAGCAUCUUGGACGGAGAAACCUCGGCAAAGACAAAGGCCCAUUGUCCCCCUUCCCCGGCCUUCUGCCAGCUCCCUCCCCAGUCACCAGACAAGGCCAGCCCUGCCCACAGCCCCCAGAGGCUGCCACGCACCAGUAUGGGGUGACUCAGUGCCCCCUCCCUUCCCAUUGGUUGACGAUGCCUGGAAUCCCACCAUCAGAGCUUUGUAAGGUUGCUGUGGGAUGGGGGAGUGGGGGAGGCAGAAAAAGACAAGAAGGUGGUGAGGGCCUCUGGCUUGCGGAUUUCAAAAUUAGACCUUUAUGAUGGGCUUGGGUGGGAGAUCAGGCAAUAAUAAAUAAUAAAAACAACAAAUUUCACACUUG
rnacentral:lncRNA from 10 species